rnacentral:lncRNA from 10 species
AGGAGCCUGACCCUGAGCCCAAAGAAACUGCCCACCUGUGUGCUGACCCCAGGGCCUGAGGACAGGUCCCCAAGUGGACGUCUCAAAGAGAGUCCCACAUUCCAGGGCACAUGGGAACUAUGGCCUUCUGGCAGCUGGAGGGCAGCAGGAAGGGCACAGCUGUCUGAGACCCGUGUGGCUUCCCAGAAAGAGGUGCCACCCCUGAGGAGGCACCGGUGCUCACGGACUCCUGGUUGCCAGUCUUGCCAGGGCAAAAAGGCAAGCGAAGGAAACCCUCUCUUCGUGGGGCACUCUGCCUUGCAGUGUCAGGUGAGAUCCCGGGGGGAAAGCUGGCUUGAGCUCCUCUGGAAUGUGCAGGGAGGACUCCGUCAGGCCCGGCUCUGCCUCCAAGCUGGGCAGCAGGCGAGCCCCAGAGCUCCACCAGCCCCACUGGCAGAGGAGGGCCCUCACGAGGCAGGAGCCCAUGAUUCAUGCCCUGCUGGAAUUUGUCGAGCAUGCCGAGAUUUGCAGCUCCUCCGAGAUUGGGUCCUGCCCUGAUCAAAAGAAAAGAAGAUGGAUGAGGACACUAUAAAUAGGCCAGAGCCACCCAGCUGGCCUCGGGGAUGCAGGCGGUAUGUGUUCUGGGCUCUCACGAAGCUAAGAAACUCUAAAUCCAAGGUGACAUCGUGGCACACCGCCACCUGCUUCAGGGGGACACAGGGGACAAGGAGGAGCUAUUGGCAGAGCGCUCGGUUCCUGCAAGUUCCAACUUCUGCUAAAAUUGGUUAAUUGGUUCCUUUGCAUGAUUCAGGGCACACAGGCUUCUCUGUCCACAAAAUUUGCUCGCCUGCACACCCAGAGAAAUGGACUUGGCUUGGUUUUUCUGAACUUUUGCCUCUGCGGAAUCAGCAGUGGACGUGUGAGCUGGGGCCUCUGUCCCUGUCAUGUGAGGAGGUCAGGCAGGACAAGCAGGAAGCACUGGGCAAUGAGUCAGGAGGCCUGGUGGGGAGCUUGGGAGCCCUGUGUGCCAGAGGAUGAGAGACCAC